CCUACGGGAGGCAGCAGUGGGGAAUAUUGCUCAAUGGGGGGAACCCUGAUGCAGCGACGCCGCGUGGGGGAGGAAGUAUUUCGGUAUGUAAAGUCCUAUUAGUAGGGAAGAAAAUGACGGUACCUGACUAAUAAGCACCGGCUAACUACGUGCCAGCAGCCGCGGUAAUACGUAGGGUGCAAGCGUUAUCCGGAUUUACUGGGUGUAAAGGGCGCGUAGGCGGCGUUCCAAGUCUGAUGUGAAAGUCCGUGGCUCAACCACGGGACUGCAUUGGAAACUGGCAUGCUGGAGUGUGGGAGGGGCAGGCGGAAUUCGUGGUGUAGCGGUGAAAUGCGUAGAUAUUAGGAGGAACACCGAUGGCGAAGGCGACUUGCUAGACCAUAACUGACGUUGAGGCGCGAAAGCGUGGGGAGCAAACAGGAUUAGAUACCCGAGUAGUC
rnacentral:rRNA from 1 species